rnacentral:rRNA from 1 species
ACACGUAAGUUGCGAGCGUUGUUCGGAAUUAUUGGGCGUAAAGGGCAUGUAGGCGGAAUUGCAAGCCUGAUGUGAAAUCCCUGGGCUUAACCCAGGAACUGCAUUGGGAACUGCAAAACUUGAAUUACUGAGGGGUAACUAGAAUUCCAAGUGUAGGGGUGAAAUCUGUAGAUAUUUGGAAGAAUACCAAUGGCGAAGGCAAGUUGCUAGCAGAUAAUUGACGCUGAGGUGCGAAAGUGCGGGGAGCAAACAGGAUUAGAUACCCUGGUAGUCCGCACAGUAAACGAUGUACACUAGGUGUUUGACCAUGAGGUUGAGUGCCGAAGCAAACGUGAUAAGUGUGCCGCCUGGGGAGUAUGCCCGCAAGGGUGAA